GCCAUCGACAGGACAGUCACACUAAGCGGCUGAGAAAGAAACCGACAACAAAAUGGCUAAAAUGGUGAUGGCUUACAUUGGAUUCCUUCUCCUUGCCUUGCCUUGUUCAUCACAGGUCCACGCGCAAAACAGUACCACAAAAUCCCCAGCCAUCACUGCUAUGACCGAAGCUGGCGACGCGAGUUCCAACAUGACCAAGAUGCCCGAUGUUGUCGCUACCAAGAACAUCACCAUACCCAAAGGAGCCAGUGUGUCCUUGCUGUCCAGCUCGGUCACGCUCUUUCCCAUAGUGUUGGCUGGCCCUCUCCUACACGGUCGCUUCUAGAAGGCUCCUUCCUGUACACUGCAAAGACGGGGAAAACUGUUUUAGAAAGAGCACACUUUUAUAACUUAAAGGCAGUAAUGUGUACACCUAACCAUAGAUUCAGUGUAAUUGGGGUGCUGCAAGAACAUAUUUCUAAUUUGCUGAUGGGAUUUCUUAUUUGGGCUCCCACCUCCCUGGCCACUUCAAACCAGUAGGCCUAUACACCUUGUGCACAGGGCCUAUGGUGUGGACCCCCUCCAUGGUGGCAGGCCAUGAUGAGGAUGUGUGAAACUGGACUCUUUGACUCGUUUGUUACCACUGUUCCUGUGUAGAUGGCAGGGUCGUUUUUUUAAACUUAUGAAGUGUAAAUUUGCACAGUGAUUGGGUAGUCUACUAAUAUAAAGAAGUUGGUUUGAGGUGCAUUGUGGAACAUAAUGUCUGAUCUUUGGCAUGCAUGGCUUUAGCGGUAGUGUUUCUAAUCCUGCAAUGGACACUAAAGCGUAUGUGAUUAUUAUUUGAAGAAUAUCAUUUGUUUUGUCAUGUGUUAACUAAUUCUUUGAAAUGUACUUGUCACAAAAUGUAUUUGUUCUUGUAGGCUACAAUAAAAUUACAUGGGCCUAACUGA